rnacentral:rRNA from 1 species
GUAGUUGACUCCGUGGCACGAGGACACGCUGGCGGCGUGCCUAAUACAUGCAAGUCGAGCGGACCGAAGGGAGCUUGCUCCUUUAGGUUAGCGGCGGACGGGUGAGUAACACGUGGGCAACCUGCCCUGCAGACUGGGAUAACUUCGGGAAACCGGAGCUAAUACCGGAUAACACCGAAAACCGCAUGGUUUCGGUUGAAAGGCGGCAUUAGCUGUCACUGCAGGAUGGGCCCGCGGCGCAUUAGCUAGUUGGUGAGGUAACGGCUCACCAAGGCGACGAUGCGUAGCCGACCUGAGAGGGUGACCGGCCACACUGGGACUGAGACACGGCCCAGACUCCUACGGGAGGCAGCAGUAGGGAAUCUUCCGCAAUGGACGAAAGUCUGACGGAGCAACGCCGCGUGAGCGAAGAAGGUCUUCGGAUCGUAAAGCUCUGUUGUCAGGGAAGAACAAGUGCCGUUCGAAUAGGGCGGUACCUUGACGGUACCUGACGAGGAAGCCACGGCUAACUACGUG